AUUUUGAAGCAACGCGAAGAACCUUACCAAAUCUUGACAUCCUCUGACCCCUNCUAGAGAUAGAGUUUUUCCCCUUUCGGGGGACAGAGUGACAGGUGGUGCAUGGUUGUCGUCAGCUCGUGUCGUGAGAUGUUGGGUUAAGUCCCGCAACGAGCGCAACCCUUAAGCUUAGUUGCCAUNCAUUAAGUUGGGCACUCUAAGUUGACUGCCGGUGACAAACCGGAGGAAGGUGGGGAUGACGUCAAAUCAUCAUGCCCCUUAUGAUUUGGGCUACACACGUGCUACAAUGGACAAUACAAAGGGUAGCGAAACCGCGAGGUCAAGCAAAUCCCAUAAAGUUGUUCUCAGUUCGGAUUGUAGUCUGCAACUCGACUAUAUGAAGCUGGAACGCUAGAAUCGAGNCACAGUACGGAAC
rnacentral:rRNA from 1 species